rnacentral:misc_RNA from 1 species
GUACUUCUCAUAUUCUAUCAAAACCAAGUCUGUUUUAUCCAGGUGGGACUUGGACACUCUAGGACAAAUUACAGUGUUCACUCUGCAACAGAGCGAUAAUUCUAGUACUUGGAUAUUUGAAACUAGUGGUCCAUGCAAGUACAAUUCCAAGAAUUCAACCGCAGUUUGCCUAACUGAAAAGCCUACUAAUUGCAGGAAUGGUUCUGAGAUUUUCAUGCCGAAAAGAGGGUAUAUGGAUUUCAAUGAAUAUAAUACAUAUUUUGAUUCUGAUAUGAGCUCUACUCUUAGUGAUUGUCAUGCCAAAUGCUGGAAAAAUUGUACUUGUGUGGCCUAUAACUCUGUAUCUGGUGAUGGAAUUGGA